rnacentral:sRNA from 1 species
GUGACAGUCAAUUUGACCUUUUUAUUUAGUCACAGAACAGAUACAGCAUGGAAGCUGCAGUGCAAACUUCCCCUCGCUGCCUCAAAGCUGGAGGGUCCCCCUGGUAGGCAUACAGAAUGGUAGUUUAACCUCCAUUUUAAACCAGGGCCUCU